rnacentral:misc_RNA from 1 species
AAGUCGUAACAAGGUUUCCGUAGGUGAACCUGCGGAAGGAUCAUUAUCGAAUAAACUAGGUGGGUUGUUGCUGUCCCUCUCGGGGGAAUUGUGCACACCUUACCUUUUUUGUUUUUCCACCUGUGCACACACUGUAGGUCUGAAGGAGGGGAAGGGGGGGGGUUUGUAACCUCCCCUGAAACACUUUCAGGUCCUAUGUAUUUUACACAUACACUAUUAAAAGUAACAGAACGAUUCAAUGGGCUUCCAAGCCUAUAAACUAUAUACAACUUUCAGCAACGGAUCUCUUGGCUCUC